ACAUGCAAGUCGAACGAUGAAGCCCAGCUUGCUGGGUGGAUUAGUGGCGAACGGGUGAGUAACACGUGAGUAACCUGCCCUUAACUCUGGGAUAAGCCUGGGAAACUGGGUCUAAUACCGGAUAGGAGCGUCCACCGCAUGGUGGGUGUUGGAAAGAUUUAUCGGUUUUGGAUGGACUCGCGGCCUAUCAGCUUGUUGGUGAGGUAAUGGCUCACCAAGGCGACGACGGGUAGCCGGCCUGAGAGGGUGACCGGCCACACUGGGACUGAGACACGGCCCAGACUCCUACGGGAGGCAGCAGUGGGGAAUAUUGCACAAUGGGCGCAAGCCUGAUGCAGCGACGCCGCGUGAGGGAUGACGGCCUUCGGGUUGUAAACCUCUUUCAGUAGGGAAGAAGCGAAAGUGACGGUACCUGCAGAAGAAGCACCGGCUAACUACGUGCCAGCAGCCGCGGUAAUACGUAGGGUGCGAGCGUUAUCCGGAAUUAUUGGGCGUAAAGAGCUCGUAGGCGGUUUGUCGCGUCUGUCGUGAAAGUCCGGGGCUUAACCCCGGAUCUGCGGUGGGUACGGGCAGACUAGAGUGCAGUAGGGGAGACUGGAAUUCCUGGUGUAGCGGUGGAAUGCCCAGAUAUCAGGAGGAACACCGAUGGCGAAGGCAGGUCUCUGGGCUGUAACUGACGCUGAGGAGCGAAA
rnacentral:rRNA from 1 species